rnacentral:rRNA from 1 species
GGGUGCGUAACGCGUAUAGAACCUACCUUUUACAGAGGAAUAGCCUUUAGAAAUGAAGAUUAAUGCCUCAUAGUAUUGUAGACUGGCAUCAGUUUAUAAUUAAAGAUUUAUCGGUAAAAGAUGGCUAUGCGUCCUAUUAGUUAGUUGGUAAGGUAACGGCUUACCAAGACAGCGAUAGGUAGGGGUCCUGAGAGGGAGAUCCCCCACACUGGUACUGAGACACGGACCAGACUCCUACGGGAGGCAGCAGUGAGGAAUAUUGGACAAUGGAGGAGACUCUGAUCCAGCCAUGCCGCGUGUAGGAAGAAUGCCCUAUGGGUUGUAAACUACUUUUAUACAGGAAGAAACACUGGUAUGUAUACCAGCUUGACGGUACUGU